rnacentral:lncRNA from 1 species
UUGUAUCUGGGGUCCCACUAGACUUCGAGACCCCCCAUGAGGGAAGCCACCACUUUAGCCCUUCAGAAUGUCUGACAUUGUCCACUUCACACACUUAGCACUUCCAUUGUGCACUGGCCCGAAUGAAUGUCAUUUCCCCAACUAGACUAUAAGUUCCAUAAGAUCCACAACUGUGUCCAAUGCUAUUUUCAUUCUUUUCUCUUCCUUCGCACCGGCUCACCACACAGGAGACAGCAACACAGAGCACACUGCUAGUCAUAUGGUCACAGAAUGUCCCAGAUAAGGGAAGAGAUCGAAGAACUAAGGCACAGAGACAGACGGCCAUUUUCCCAAAGUCACACACCUCAAACGAGGCUCUAGGUCGCCUGCGUACCCUGCUAGCUUCUCCUCUGUCUUAAGGUUAAAGGCUCCACUUCUACCCCUACAGGGAAGCCCCUGCAUAGCUCUAGUCACUUCCUGCCUCCCCAGGCUUAUCUGGUACACUCUACACACCUUCGAGGUAGUUAUUUUUAUUGCUAUUUUAAUAGUCGCCUGAGGUGCCCACACUGAUCUGCUUCCCUGUCAGUCUGGAUGAAGGAAUUUUUGACUCUGCAUUUCAGCCAGGGUGGCCUCUUUUCUCAAACCCGCCUCCCCUGCCCUCACUUCCAGGGCUUUUGCAUGUGCAGUUUCCUCUGCUGGAAAACUGAGUUUGUCUGCUACGGCUACCUUGACAAAAGACCACAGCUGGGGUGGGUUAAACAACAGAAAUGUGUGAUCUCAAGUUCUGGAAGCUAAAAAUUCAAAAUCAAGGUGUCAGCAGAUUUGGUUCCUUGGAGGCCGUGAGGGAGCGUCAGUUCUAGGCUUCUCUCCUAGCUCCUGGUGUCGGCUCACUAUCUUCGGCAUUCCAUGGCUUGUAAGCAGCCAGCAUCCCCCUGAUGUCUGCUUUCAUCUUCACGUGACAUUCUUCCUGUGCGCAUGUCUGUCUCUGUGUCCAAAUUUCCCCUUUUGAUAAGAAUACCAGUCAAGAUUAGGGCCUACCCUAAUGACCUCAUGUUAACUUGAUUAUCUCUGUAAAAAACCCUAUUUCCAAAUAAGGUCACUAUCUAGGUACUUGGGGUCAGGACCCCCAUCUCAACCAGACAACUCCCACUUACCCGUCUAUUUCAGGCAAACCUUCCCUGAACACCCCAGACCACUCCAGGCACUGUUGUCUGCUCUUCUGUGCUCUUCUUGCAUAUUGAUACUGGAUUGUUGGUAUCUAUCUGUGUAAUUAUCAGGUUGCUAUCUGUGUCCCUCUCAGACUAUCGGCUUCAGGAAACAGGAGCAUGACUCUUCUGUGCACUAUUGUAGCCCCAAAGCCCAGUACCUGGCAUGUAAAGGUACCAAUAACUAUCUGUGCCCUGAAUGAAUGAAUUAUUGAGAGGUUAAUCUUUGCUAAUUGCAAAAAUGAAUAGGAAGUUCUAAGUAAGGGCUUCAGCAGCAGUGAGGUCAAUGUUUCCUCCGGAGAGAGUGAAUUUACUGCGGGAUCCGUGAGGGCCAAAGCCCUGCCCUCACGCACCCUCACCACCCUUUGACUAAUGGUCAUUGCCUCUUCCUCCCUCCCACCCAGUCACACUAGGGAGAAUCCACAUCAGCCUGGCCAUGCAGGGGAGGCCUCACGAAGCCCUGGGAAGCCAGAGCAAUAAAACUCUUGUUCAAACAAACGAUUACAGUGGUAAGACACGAAAAGGAAGCUGUUCCUGCUGAUGAAGGGUGAGAAACCUGGAGCCUUCCCUCCCUCCACGCCACGUGGCAGACACCUCAGGGAAUGCUGGGUCUCAGGAGAACAUGCCGAUCCCGUUAACACACAGUCUUCAUAUGAAACCAUGUGGGAACUCAACACAUGCUGUCUCCUCUCUAACCUGAGAUCCUGGCCCUGUUCCACAAAGCGAGGCAGCCUCUUAUAUACCCCUCACAAACCAAGUACUGGGGUGGUGGCCAAAGGGGAGAGACAGGCUAGGGUGUGGGUGGGCCGAAGAAAUCUGAGAGGGACAGGAGCUGCGGUGGCCUGGUCUCUGAGCCUGCAGAGGCUCCCUUCCAGAGAGAGAGCUUGGAACUCAGUCUCUGCCUCCCUCCUUCUCUCCCUCCCUCCAGCAGAACUGCCCUGCCCCAGGGGGUUCAUACCUCGCUAGUCCCCUAGGCCUACACCUUUCCUAAUCUUAGGAGAGACAUAAGAAAAGGAAUCUCUCCCCUUCCCCGCAGAAUACUUUUUUUUUUUUUUUAAACAGGGUCUCUCUCUGUCACCUGGCUGGAGUGCAGUGGCGCAAUCAUGCUCACUGCAACUCUGCCUCCUGGGCUCAAGUGAUCCUCCCACCUCAGCCUCCCAAGUAGCUGGGACCACAGGCAUGCACCACCACGCCUGGCUAAUUUUUGUAUUUUUUGUAGAGAUGGGAUUUCGCCAUGUUGCCCAGGCUGGUCUCAAACUCCCAGCCUCAAGUGAUCCUCCCACCUAGGCCUCCCAAAGUGCUGGGAUUACAGGCAUGAGCCACCGUGCCUGGCCCACAAUACUUUGGUAUAGUUGCUUCAAGCCCAGAUUCUGGUUCUUCGCACAGUCAACCUAUAGGGUGCCCCCCCACCGCCCCCCCCAUAGUCCUUGAUAGUCAUGCUGGGUUAGUUUCUCUAACCAGAGGAUGGGCCCAUUCUUCGCUGUGAGAUGGUGUGUGGGGACAUCGGUAAGGAACAAAUAAAGACUUGGGCAAAUAACUUUAUUCUGAGGUUGGUUAUCUCAGCCACAGGCUGAGCAUCAUAGUACCUAUUCCGCAGGGCUAUUUGGAGGAUUAAAUGAGAUAAUGUGUAUCAAAGCCCAACAUGACAGGAGCUCAGCGUAGAAGCAGUUCCAUACCAGAAAAAAGGAUGGCUUUGUCCCUUAGGUGUCGUGUCACCUCAGAUAAGGCAUUUCCCCUCUUUGAACUCCAGUUUCCUCAUUUGUAAAAUGAGCAUGUUUAAAAUUUUUUUUACUUAAAAAAGGGGCAUAUUAAUAUCUACCCUUCACAGUUGCUAUAAGUAGAGGCGAUUCACAUGACGUGGUUGAUACCUGGCACAAAGAAAGUA